GGUGAUCUAUCCCACUGUGUUCCAAAGGUGGUAGGGGGUGGUGCAGAAUCACUGAAUUGUAACUAAGAAUUUUGGCCCUUGUAUCUCACUCCAGGAUUACACCCUACCCUGAAUGCACCAUGAAAGAGAUCCCACAGAAGGCCAAGAGACUCCCUCAUGAAGAGACUGCUGCCCUGUCGUGUGAAUAUUUGGUCAUUGAGGUUGCCAACAAAUCCAGGGCAAGACUGGAAACCCCUUAUUCACCUGGAGGGUUUGUCUUCACUAUAGAGUUGAGUUAUAACUCAAGUAUGCCCUUAACUUGAGUCCUGACCUCUCACCAAAACUGUUAAACCAACCAUCAUGCUCCAAGACAUGCAUCUGACGAAGUGGGUAUUCACCCACGAAAGCUUAUGCUCCAAUACGUCUGUCAGUCUAUAAGGUGCCAUAAGACUCUGUCGCUUUUUACAGAUCCAGACUAACGCUACCCCUCUGAUACUUGACAUCAUGCUCCAGUUAACUCCAGUUGGCUGGCUCAUCAGAGGAUAUAGGCUGCAGAGUUAUUUAAUAUUCUGUAGUGUUAUUUCAGUGUGGCCAAUCUCACUUUAGCUAGACUAAAGCUUACGCUAUGUUACAAAGUUUGCUGCCAUAGUUAAGUUGGCUAGAAAUCUGAAAAUAUCACAUUCCCUAGCCAACAUAGGACUAUUUUUGUGAGUAACUGUUCACUAAUGGAAGUAAGGGGUAGCUCCAGGGAGUCAAUCUAUAAAAAAUAUCUUUUUCCUCUCAUUGUCAAUGUAUUCUGCUCCCUAGUGGUUUCUCCAUUAACUGCUUCAAUUUCCACAAGUGAGACAAAGCAUCCAAGGAAAAUUUUGGGGAUUCAUAAACUGCAUAAUCCACUCAUGUGUAAGGCGCACCAUGUUUUCCUCAGAUUAAAUAAUAUUGAAAACUAACAUAUGCAACAUAUAAAACAAGCAUAAUUAAUUACCAAUUAGUCUCAUGUUAAAAGAAAAUGUGUGUAACAAAUAGAUACUAAUUCUAAUAAACAAAGUGAGUGAUCGUAUAUCUCAGAAAAGUGAAGGGUAAUCUAACCUGCAGGUUUACUUUAAUUCCUUCAAGUUCUUUUGAGGUCUUCGACAGUUGACGGAGGAUAUUGCUCCUUUCCUUAAAGACUUCUUUCAGUUGUCUUUCCAGUUCUUCAUAGCCCUGUCUAACACAAAGCACAGGCAGUCCUCUCAAAAUGUCUUCCCAAUGUACUUGAAAUCAGAGUCUUAAUUCAUCCAAUUUUUAUUAAUCAUAAGCAGAAUCCACUUCCAUUCCCCCUUGCACCAUGUUUAGGAAUUGAAAUGUUUUAUGACAAACUGAACUGCUGCAUCUGUGUACACAAAUCCUCAAACCAUCGUGCCAACAGCAACCUAUUCCCUGUUGUGGGCAGGAACAAAUGCUUUUAUAUUUUACACAAGUUGACAGUAAAGCAGGUUUUUCUUUCCUGUGAGAUAUUGCACAGUAGGAAUUAUUGAACUUUGUAGAGUCAGAGAUUUUUGACCAUCCUUGUGGGGAAGGAUGUUCCAAAGAUAUUUGAAUUUUCCCUCCUGUAAUUUAAACCUAUUUUUACCCAAUUAGUGAUUCAGGCUCAGAUCGGGGUUAGGUGUCUAAAUGCCUUUGAAGAUCUGGGUUCAUCAGUUCAUAAAAAGAAACAAAUGUCUCAAUCCUGCAAUACACCAAGACUAUCUUAGGGCCUCAUCCAAAGCCCACUGAAAUCAAUAGUGAUCUUCAGGUUAGGCCCAUAUUGGGCUUCUGAAUCUAUCAAGAGCACUGGCUAUGUUUGGAGAAAUAUUGGCUGAUUCAUUUAGCAAUGGACAGCUCAUCUACUCUGCCUGAAGGAUGGAAGAAAAAAAUAGUGCACUAUUUUGGAUACUUGGUAUAUCUCAAAGCAUUAAUUAAAUGUUGUUUUUCCUACAGUUAUAAGUUUUUAUAUUACUGAUAUUGUUUAGUACACUACUAUACUGAAUUGAAGCUCCAUCAAGAGCAAAUACCUUUAGCUUAUUUUGCCAACAUUUUACAGAUGUGACUGUGAGGAAACAGUGUGGAAAUAUUUGAACUGCCAUCUCUUUAACGAAACUUAUAACAUCUUUAAUUUCUUCUCACUACUGUGAAAACCACUGGGAUGUUUCACUCUGCAACAUAACACCCUGCCUGCCACAGUAAUGCUGACAGGUGGUCACUAUCCAAUUAGUGAUUAAACCUACAUCUCAUACAA